UUUUAACAAUAAGUAGUUGUAGAUUCCUAAAUGGUGGCCUAAAGCAGGUUGAGAAAGGGAUGCAUAGUUAGAAGUAGAAUAAUAGUUUACUGAUGACCUUCAUUAAGUCUUUACUCUUUUCUCAGCAAAGCUAGAGGAAACCAAAGUCAUAGAACAUCUGAACUCUGUCCAAACAUCGGUCGUAUUUCAAAAUUUCAGGUGACUGGCCCAUAAUAGACAAUCAAUAAAUCACAGUUAUUUUUAUGAACAUUAUCAUUAUAUUUAUUACUAGUUGAUUGUAACUAGUUGGUUAUUACUGAAUUCUAAUGUCCCAGUAGAAAAAGAAGGAAAGUGAAAAUUGGUAUGGGCCCAGUCUAAGAAUGCUGGCUGGCGAAAAUGAUACGACCUUGAGAAAUUGUGCAAGAGCCUUAAAUACAUAUGUUGAUCAUUUUAUAUUGCAGAGCCUCAGACUUCCAUGAUAAUAUCUGCCUAGUCUUUAGAAGAGUGUAUGGAAGUGUUCAAGAACCUUUCCUGAAACAACUUCUAUUACAGACACUGCUUCUUCAUGGUUAUUCCAUCAGAUUGCAAUCACUUAUAUGUUUUUUUCCACUCUUCCUUAUAUUAUGAGCACUUUUCACGUAGGGGUUCAUCUCUUUAAUAAUCAUAGCUCCCAACACAAUUGUAGGCUUAUAUUAGAUGCUCGAUAAAGAUGAGUUGAGUUAACAUGUAAAGUAAUGAAUGAGUAAGGAAAAAUAGAAUAGUUUCGAAUUAAUGCAUGUUACUGCUACUGUAAAUUUAAUGUUUUCAUUUCUAUUACUAUUUAUAUAUAAAUUUAAUUAAUUGUUAACUUUCUUUGCCAUCCAUACAUCUAUUUAUCUGCUCAUUUGAAAAUCUCUUUCCUGUUUCCUAUUAUUCAAAAUAUUAAAAGCAAAUAUUACUUAAAUAUUUAAAUCACUCUUUUUCCAUGUUAAGUUUCUCAGGAUGCAGAAUGUUGCUGUACACUGAGAAAUAUUAGGCGAUACAAAAUGGCUACUAUAACGUAAUGUUCUAGAAAAUGAUAAAAGUCAAACCCAUUGGUUUUUGCUGCCAACACAAGUUUGUCAAUGUAAUUAAUGCCCUUUAGCCUGGGAGGGUUGUAUGACAGGAAAAAUGGCAUCAAAGCCAUUUUUAUUUAAAAAAUAAAUUUAAUAUUACUUGAUAAUAAGGGAGCUAUAUAAGCAAAAAUCUUAGAAUUUUCUUUUUCUUUUUUUUCCUUAGUUUCACAUCUUUCUACAUAGUAUCCAAAUCCCAGUUGUUGAUACUAAUUUUCUUGCCUUCUUACCCUUAACAAGUUUGGAGACAAAGUUAAUAUCAUUAGUAGUAUGUAAACUAAUUCCUAAAGCAAAAGUCUCUAAAAGUGUGAUCCAUGUCCCAUUUUUUAUUGGUCUGCAAUGAGGUAAGCACAGAAAUUUUAAUCACCUCCACGCAUACCUUCAA
rnacentral:lncRNA from 10 species